rnacentral:rRNA from 1 species
UACGAAGGGGGCUAGCGUUGCUCGGAAUCACUGGGCGUAAAGCGCACGUAGGCGGGUCUUUAAGUCAGGGGUGAAAUCCUGGAGCUCAACUCCAGAACUGCCUUUGAUACUGAAGAUCUCGAGUCCGGAAGAAGUGAGUGGAACUCCGAGUGUAGAGGUGAAAUUCGUAGAUAUUCGGAAGAACACCAGUGGCGAAGGCGGCUCACUGGUCCGGUACUGACGCUGAGGUGCGAAAGCGUGGGGAGCAAACAGG